rnacentral:rRNA from 1 species
UUAGCAUAUCAAUAAGCGGAGGAAAAGAAACCAACAGGGAUUGCCCCAGUAACGGCGAGUGAAGCGGCAAUAGCUCAAAUUUGAAAUCUGGCCCCUUUGGGGUCCGAGUUGUAAUUUGCAGAGGGCGCUUUGGAGUUGGCUGCAGCCUAAGUUCCUUGGAACAGGUCAUCAUAGAGGGUGAGAAUCCCGUAUGUGGUUGCAUGCCUUCGCCGUGUAAAGCCCCUUCGAUGAGUCGAGUUGUUUGGGAAUGCAGCUCUAAAUGGGAGGUAAAUUUCUUCUAAAGCUAAAUAUUGGCCAGAGACCGAUAGCGCACAAGUAGAGUGAUCGAAAGAUGAAAAGCACUUUGGAAAGAGAGUCAAAAAGCACGUGAAAUUGUUGAAAGGGAAGCGCUUGCAGCCAGACUUGCCCGCAGUUGCUCAUCCGGGGUUCUCCCCGGUGUACUCUUCUGUGGGCAGGCCAGCAUCAGUUCGGGCGGUUGGAGAAAGACCUGUGUCAUGUAGCUGUUCUCGGGCAGUGUUAUAGGGCAGGUGGAAUGCAACCAGCUCGAACUGAGGUCCGCGCAUCUGCUAGGAUGCUGGCGUAAUGGCUGUAAGCGGCCCGUCUUGAAACACGGACCAAGGAGUCUAACAUCUAUGCGAGUGUUUGGGUGUCAAGCCCGAGCGCGUAAUGAAAGUGAACGGAGGUGGGAACCCCUCGGGGUGCACCAUCGACCGAUCCUGAUGUCUUCGGAUGGAUUUGAGUAAGAGCAUAGCUGUUGGGACCCGAAAGAUGGUGAACUAUGCCUGAAUAGGGUGAAGCCAGAGGAAACUCUGGUGGAGGCUCGCAGCGGUUCUGACGUGCAAAUCGAUCGUCAAAUUUGGGCAUAGGGGCGAAAGACUAAUCGAACUAUCUAGUAGCUGGUCCCUGCCGAAGUCCCC